rnacentral:tRNA from 1 species
GCCAGCAUGGUGUAGUGGUUUGAGCAUUGGACUAUAACUCUGGAGACCAGGGUUCGAAACCUGGCUCAGCCA